CCUACGGGUGGCAGCAGUGGGGAAUAUUGCACAAUGGGGGAAACCCUGAAGCAGCGACGCCGCGUGAGGGAAGAAGGAUUUCGGUAUGUAAAGCCCUUUCAGCAGGGAAGAAAUAGCGACCAUUGGGUGGCCAGACGGUAGCUGACUAAGAAGCACCGGCUAACGACGUGCUAGCAGCAGGGGUAAUACGGAGGGGGCAGGCGUUGUAAGGAUUUUUUGGGGGUUAAGGGAGCGUAGGGGGCAGCACAAGUCUGAAGGGAAAUGCCAGGGGUUAACCCCGGAACUGCGUUGGAAACUGGGGUGCUAGAGUGGGGGAGAGGUAGGUGGAAUGCGUGGUGUAGCGGUGAAAUGCGUAGAUAUCAGGAGGAACAC
rnacentral:rRNA from 1 species